UACGUAGGGUGCGAGCGUUAAUCGGAAUUACUGGGCGUAAAGCGCACGUAGGCGGCUUGGUAUGUCGGGUGUGAAAUCCCCGGGCUCAACCUGGGAACUGCAUCCGAAACUGCCUUGCUAGAGUAUGGGAGAGGGAAGUGGAAUUUCCGGUGUAGCGGUGAAAUGCGUAGAUAUCGGAAGGAACAUCAGUGGCGAAGGCGACUUCCUGGACCAAUACUGACGCUCAGGUGCGAAAGCGUGGGGAGCAAAAGGG
rnacentral:rRNA from 1 species